AAGAAGAAAGGAGAUUUGAAAAAAACCCAAACUGUCUGUCACAUAUCAGGGGCACAACAUCUGGACAUAGGUAGCAGACAGACUGCCUGUUGCCCUGAUCCAGCUGCUUUCUUCUGGCUCAGCCUGAAAACUCAGGAGAGUGCACAAGUAGGGAUUAAUGAGCUGUUUUCAGGGAAAGCAGAUGCUCCAGGGAAGAUUGCACAGAGGUUUCAGAUAUUCAACAGACCAGCUCCUGCACACUCUCUGUUUAAACCUUCCCAAGUUUAACAACAACUGAGGAUCCAUUUUGCUUGAUCAGGCUCUCAAGGUGCCCAAGUUACUUCCAGCAGCCUGAGAAGGUGCUGGUAUGUAAUGAUAAAAAUACUACACCUGAGCAGACAUUCCUUUUCCUUUUGGAAUAACCAAAAGACCAGAUGGCUUGGCUUACAAGACUGACUCAGGCAGCAGUAGCUGCAAUAGAUCUUCAGGUGUGACACAUUUUGACACUGUGAUAACCUGAUAUUUGAAAUCUUGCUAUGGUAUUCAGAAAUGUUUAAUAAAGUAAUUCAAGUGUAUCA
rnacentral:lncRNA from 1 species